UGGGGAGGAACACAGAAUGGAGGAGGCAGAGGAAGAGGAAGGAAAACGGAUGUAAAAGAAUUAAAACAUACAGCCAGAUGUGGUGGUGCACACCUGCAAUCCCAGCACUGGGAGGCUGAGGCAGGAGGAUUACUAUAAAUUGGAGGCCAGCCUGGGCUACAUAAGCAAGUUCAAGGCCAGCCCGAAAUACAUAGUGACAGUGUCUCAAAAAACUACACAGGAAAAAAAAAAGGACACUCAGAACAAUAUUUCUAACGCCUGCUGAGACCCAGCCUCCUAAUCAAUGGUUACGGUGGGGGUCCGCCUUGCUCCUCCUCCCCUCCUAGGUUUGCGACUCCGCCCUCCUGGUUCCUCCUCACUGUCACCGAGGCCUGCGCUGUGCUCCGGGCUCCUGGGGCUGUUGAGCACAGACACAAAGUGAGAAGAGGAAGGAAGGCAGCGCCCCAAUGGAGCCGGGCAGAUCCUGCGGUGGUGGCGCAGGACAGAGAGGAAGCUUCGACUCCCUGGGACCCCACCAUGACCUCAGCACUCAGCAAUCCUCCAGCCGGGUGAAUCUCUAACCGCUCCGACUUUGGCAGGUAAAUGCCCAGAGGCUGGACACGGCUCACAGGGAGAGUCCAGUGCAACAUCUGUGAGACGCCAGUCCAGUCUUCAGCAUGCCCAAAAUAAAAUAAACAGUAAGCACACAGACUAGUACCCCUGCAUAACACCAGCCGGCCUGGCUGCAUAGCUAGUGUCCCCAGGGCCAGGGGAACGGCUUCCUGCUUUUUUUGUCAGUAUAAAAUUUUUUUUAAAACCCAAAAUUCUUAAAAUAGAUUUUUUUUUCUAUCGGUACUGGGAAUCAAACUCAGGACCUGGUGCUUGCCAGGCAGGCGCUGUACUGCUAAGCCCAACCCCACCCUCCUCUCCAAUAAAACUUUAAAAUACUUAAAAUAAACAAAAAAAAAAAAAAACCCAAACAAGCCAAAACUGCAUAGCCAACUUCUGUGACAGAGAAAAGCUGGAGAAAUCACUGCUCUUCAGAGAUCAGGAGCCAUGAGGGGGGUGACAUGAGGACAACACUGAGACCCAGGACGCAGCGUGGGCUGCUCGGAAGCAGGUGGCUGAGAAACUGGGCCCCCGGGACAUUGCACAAGGCAGCUGGAAUCCACGGAGGGACUCCCACUCCGCUGUCGGCCACGUUACACAGCAUAGUCACUGCGGAAAAAUGUUUGGCAACUGCUGAGAACGUUGGGAUCAUGAAGCCCAGAGUAACACAGAGCACAGACAGAGCAGAGUCACCUACAACGGGCCCGACACUAACAGGAAUGAAAGUUCCUCCACGGAGCUGGGCAUGUGGUUCACACCUGUCAUCCCAGCAGGUAGCAGGCUGAGGCAGGAGGAUCACUUGAGUUUGAGGCCAGCCUGGGCUACAUGGUGAGACCCUGUCUCAAAAAAGAAAAAGUUCCAUAACUGGAAGAAGGAGGAACAGGCAUUGGUGCCACAUAUCCACAGGAGAGCACCGUCUGUGGCCAAGGACACAUGGACCCUGCGAAGGCAGAGGACACACAGGCAGCACUGUGCAGCUAGCCACGCUGUGCUCUGCGAAACCGCAUGGCACUGGGCGGCCGGGCAGCAAGGCCCUGCGGGGACGGCGUCCAUGUCCACUGAGGGCUUCUGUCUGCUGGGAAGAGGCCGCAGCUGGCCGCUGACCUGGCCAUUCCACCUCCAGGCUUCUCCAGCCAGGGCGUAGGGAGAGGCUGCCCCGCCCAAGGGCCAGCCCAGGGCAGAGCAAGCUAAGGCUAUGAUGGCCCCUUGAGGCUCUGCACAAAUGCUCAGAAGUGGCCUGAUGCCUUCCUUCUUUGUUUUUCCUGUCUCUUCCAUGUGUGUUGCUCCCAGUGGUCAGUGGCAGAAGAAUCUAGGAACUGGUGGUGGGGCUUAAAAUGCUUCAUUUAGCUGGGUGUGGUAGCUAAAGGCAUUCAGGAGGCUGAAGCAGGAGGACCUCUUGGAGUUAAGAGGUCAGCAUGGGGGCCAUACCUGGCUCAGCACCUGCAGCUCCAAGUGUGCAGAGUUCAAGACCACUUCUAAGGCCUCCCAGACAGGAACCACCACCCUCCAGGCCGGUCUAAUGGGGGGGCGGGGGGCAGGAGGUCUCUGGGCCCCAUCUGGUACCAACAAUUCCAAGUGCUUUUCUGGUAUGUUUUUUUUUUUUUUUUCCUAUGGGGCUGGGGAUUGAACCCACCAAGCUCCAUCCCCAGGUUUUUAUUUUUGAAAUGAGGUGUUGAUGAAUUGUCAGGGACAAACUUGCAAUCCUGCCUUAGCCUCCCAAGUGCUGGGGUCAGGCGUACAUCACCACACCUGCUUCAAUAUGAAAAUGCUGACAAGUUGCUUUCUUCCCAAUACUAAGAAGACUUCAAAAUCAGCUACGGGCCCAUCUGGUCUUUCCCUGGAGUGAAGGAAACUGAGGCACAGGAAGGCUGAAUAACCUGCCCAGGGCCCCACAGGAGGGCCUGAUGGGGCAGGCAGAUGCAAUGCACACACGCAGCUCCCCCACACCUGACUUGGUGUCUCUUGUGCAUCCACCAUGCCGAGGACCUGUGGGGGCUCCUCGGGGCUCCCCACAGGACAGGGCUGAUGGGACAGCAGCAGUUGCAGUGCUGUAGACUUCCGGCCCCUCCGCCCAGCCUUCCUGCCCUGCCUGGCCGCCCCCAGCAACCUCCUGGCCUGGCCCAUGUCCCCUCCCCAGUGGGCCCUCAGUGGCUGUUCUCUGUGCCCCUUUGUGGCAGUGGCCGCUGAGGACACUGGAGCAGCAGGGAAGAAGCCCAGGCCCCACACCCACCAGCGCCCAGCAACUGGGCCACGCAGCCAAAACAAAUAGAGCCGGCUGGCUCCCUGCAGUGUGUUGGGAGGUGCAGGUCACGCCUGCCCUCUGCAGCUUGCACACGCACACACGGAUGGGCACCUGUGCUCCCCAGCAACACCCUGCCCUGAGCACCCCAGCUGGGGUGCACCGCCCUUCUUUUCCUUGGGGCGGCCGUACCAGCCCACAGCCCUAGCUCUGAGCAGAAGCCGAAGCUCAGCCAGCCCAGGACCCUGGCCCGGGCAUCGAGGCAGGGGAGCCUGGCACCCCAGCUCUCACAGCCCUGAGCAGCACCUCGGGAACAGGCAGGAGUUGGAGGGAACUCGGUCUCUGGCUGGUCACCCCGAAAUCUGGCUCCUCCUGACCUUGCCCAUUCUGCGGAACAGAAACUCAAACUGGCCAUGCUCAGUGACAGCUUCCAGAACCUGUGUGCCACAGAGUAGGCCCGGGAGCAGGCCGGGGGGGGGGGGGGGCGGGCGGGGGCAGGCUGCCCUGCGUUCCCAGCUGUCGUCCAGGGACCAGGCCUCUCACCCCUCCUGGGAGUCACAGUAAUAAUCUCAGACCACAAAAGACAAGCAAGGAGCCGGCCGAGCCUUGCCCCGAGGCUUCCAGAACUUAAAAAUAACCCGGCUGCCAUCCGGGCUCUGCAGAGCUGCCAAGUCCUUCCGGGUCACCUGACCCCUGGGUCCAACUGGUGUCCUGGUGACAGUGGAAAACAAGAUGAGGACCCAGGGUCACUGGUAGUACUUGCCUUGGUGGCCCCAGGGCCUGGUGGUCAGUCCUACAGCACCCAGGGGUGGCCCUGGGUUCUGGUCACAUUUCUGCUGCCAGUGAGUCAGCUUGGCUCAGGACUUGACCCACUGCCCCUGGUGCCAGGGAGCAGCAGGCCACAUCCUCCAUGCGGGGACACACAAGGGGGAAAGGGGUGCAGAUUCUCUGUUUGAUGCUCACUUUCCAGAACAGCCACCCUGAAAACGGCUGUUAUACUCCACCCACCAUGUGACCUAAACACAGGCCAGAGCUGGACAUCCAGUCCCCUCGAGGUCCCUCAGGGCUGGGCUGGGCAGCCUUGGGCACAGCUCCUCUAGGGUCUCUGCCAUGGCCAGUGGCCAGGCUGCCCAGUCUCUUGGUAUGUGGUCAUGCCCAGGCCAGGCCAGGCAUCUAAAAACAGCCAUUGCUCCACCCCAGGACUCUGGGCAGGGCGGGGUCCCCCAACAUCACUCUCCUGCUCUCAAGUGCAUCCACUAUUAUUUCUCUUUAUUUUAUGUUCAUUUGAAGUAAUAUGCGCUGUACUCACUCCUGUAGUUGAAUCUUAUUUAUCUCUUUCUGGUAAUUUGUUUUUAAAUGGCGUGGGGCAGAACCAGGGCUCCUACCCUCUAUCCCUGAGCUGCACACCCUCGGAUGCAUCCUCUCUCAGAAGAUCUGCCUUCCACAUGAAAGCUUUAAAUCAACGUAUGUAGGGAAACUCCUUUCACAUUGGACAUGGGGGCGCACACCUAUAACCUCAGCCCUGGGGACGCUGAGGCAGGAGGAUUGCCAUAAAUUUCAAGCCAGCCUGGGCCACACAGCGAGUUCAAGGCCAGGCUGCACAGCAUAGCAAUGACCUAGCUCAAAAACUGCAAAAAAAGAGGAAAGGACAUUUUUAAAAGCUCUGUCAACAAUGGCCAUGGCUGACGACCUGUUGCAUGCUCCGGAUUACUUAUGGAAAAUGCAGGGAGACAGAAAGACACUCCUCCUGCUCACCGAGGCAGCCUGGGGACACCCGAGCCCACAUCUGCCCCCCACACUUCCAGCCCAGCACGCAGGGCCAGUGAGGACCCCACAUUCGCCUGAUGAUCCAGAGAGAGGGUAUGGGGAGGCCAGCAGAUACCUGUCACCUCCUCGUGAUGCACCGUUAACGUCACUAACUCCUGGGCGUCCCCGUCCCCGCUCCCCUGGGAUCACGGCCGCACUGUCCAUCCAACCCCAACACACCGUGAGGUGCUUUCACUGUUUUAAGUUUCGCCACACUACAGCGUGGGUUUGGAUCACACACUCAGGACAUCAGCACUGUGGCCAUCCCGCAGGGGCAGUCCCACUCUGUCUCACUCACGACAAUCCUCGUGCCUCAGCCUCCGGAGUGCUGGGAUUGCAGGUGUGCGUCACCACGCCCAGCCUGCAAUGUGUCUUUCCUGUAAUAAUUUUUUAAAUCUGUAUUUUCCAAUCACCCCUGUAUAUCUGUUCUGAAACACCACACAGUAUCCUGUACUAUAAAUAUACAAUUAGUACUGUGCCAGUUAAAAAGCAAUUUAUUCUUUUAAAGAA